UACGUAGGGGGCAAGCGUUGUCCGGAAUCAUUGGGCGUAAAGCGCGCGUAGGCGGCCCGGUAAGUCCGCUCUGAAAGUCCAGGGCUCAACCCUGGAAAGCGGGUGGAUACUGCCGGGCUAGAAUCCGGAAGAGGCGACUGGAAUUCCUGGUGUAGCGGUGGAAUGCGCAGAUAUCAGGAGGAACACCUGUGGUGUAGACAGCUUACUGGACCACUUCUGACGCUGAGACACGAAAGCGUGGGUAGCAAACAGG
rnacentral:rRNA from 1 species